rnacentral:rRNA from 1 species
AGCGCAUACGGUGGAUGCCUUGGCAGUCAGAGGCGAUGAAAGACGUGGUAGCCUGCGAAAAGCUUCGGGGAGUCGGCAAACAGACUUUGAUCCGGAGAUGUCUGAAUGGGGGAACCCAGCCAUCAUAAGAUGGUUAUCUUACGCUGAAUACAUAGGCGUAAGAGGCGAACCAGGGGAACUGAAACAUCUAAGUACCCUGAGGAAAAGAAAUCAACCGAGAUUCCCUUAGUAGUGGCGAGCGAACGGGGACUAGCCCUUAAGUGGCUUUGAGAUUAGCGGAACGCUCUGGAAAGUGCGGCCAUAGUGGGUGAUAGCCCUGUACGCGAAAAUCUCUUAGUCAUGAAAUCGAGUAGGACGGAGCACGAGAAACUUUGUCUGAAUAUGGGGGGACCAUCCUCCAAGGCUAAAUACUACUGACUGACCGAUAGUGAACUAGUACCGUGAGGGAAAGGCGAAAAGAACCCCGGAGAGGGGAGUGAAAUAGAUCCUGAAACCGUAUGCGUACAAGCAGUGGGAGCCCACUUUGUUGGGUGACUGCGUACCUUUUGUAUAAUGGGUCAGCGACUUAUUUUCAGUGGCGAGCUUAACCGAAUAGGGGAGGCGUAGCGAAAGCGAGUCUUAAUAGGGCGUCUAGUCGCUGGGAAUAGACCCGAAACCGGGCGAUCUAUCCAUGGGCAGGUUGAAGGUUGGGUAACACUAACUGGAGGACCGAACCGACUACCGUUGAAAAGUUAGCGGAUGACCUGUGGAUCGGAGUGAAAGGCUAAUCAAGCUCGGAGAUAGCUGGUUCUCCUCGAAAGCUAUUUAGGUAGCGCCUCAUGUAUCACUGUAGGGGGUAGAGCACUGUUUCGGCUAGGGGGUCAUCCCGACUUACCAAACCGAUGCAAACUCCGAAUACCUACAAGUGCCGAGCAUGGGAGACACACGGCGGGUGCUAACGUCCGUCGUGAAAAGGGAAACAACCCAGACCGUCAGCUAAGGUCCCAAAGUUAUGGUUAAGUGGGAAACGAUGUGGGAAGGCUUAGACAGCUAGGAGGUUGGCUUAGAAGCAGCCACCCUUUAAAGAAAGCGUAAUAGCUCACUAGUCGAGUCGGCCUGCGCGGAAGAUGUAACGGGGCUCAAACCAUACACCGAAGCUACGGGUAUCACGUAAGUGAUGCGGUAGAGGAGCGUUCUGUAAGCCUGUGAAGGUGAGUUGAGAAGCUUGCUGGAGGUAUCAGAAGUGCGAAUGCUGACAUGAGUAACGACAAUGGGUGUGAAAAACACCCACGCCGAAAGACCAAGGUUUCCUGCGCAACGUUAAUCGACGCAGGGUUAGUCGGUCCCUAAGGCGAGGCUGAAAAGCGUAGUCGAUGGAAAACAGGUUAAUAUUCCUGUACUUCUGGUUAUUGCGAUGGAGGGACGGAGAAGGCUAGGCCAGCUUGGCGUUGGUUGUCCAAGUUUAAGGUGGUAGGCUGAGAUCUUAGGUAAAUCCGGGAUCUUAAGGCCGAGAGCUGAUGACGAGUCGUCUUUUAGACGACGAAGUGGUUGAUGCCAUGCUUCCAAGAAAAGCUUCUAAGCUUCAGGUAACCAGGAACCGUACCCCAAACCGACACAGGUGGUUGGGUAGAGAAUACCAAGGCGCUUGAGAGAACUCGGGUGAAGGAACUAGGCAAAAUGGCACCGUAACUUCGGGAGAAGGUGCGCCGGUGAGGGUGAAGGACUUGCUCCGUAAGCUCAUGCCGGUCGAAGAUACCAGGCCGCUGCGACUGUUUAUUAAAAACACAGCACUCUGCAAACACGAAAGUGGACGUAUAGGGUGUGACGCCUGCCCGGUGCCGGAAGGUUAAUUGAUGGGGUUAGCUAACGCGAAGCUCUUGAUCGAAGCCCCGGUAAACGGCGGCCGUAACUAUAACGGUCCUAAGGUAGCGAAAUUCCUUGUCGGGUAAGUUCCGACCUGCACGAAUGGCGUAACGAUGGCGGCGCUGUCUCCACCCGAGACUCAGUGAAAUUGAAAUCGCUGUGAAGAUGCAGUGUAUCCGCGGCUAGACGGAAAGACCCCGUGAACCUUUACUAUAGCUUUGCACUGGACUUUGAAUUUGCUUGUGUAGGAUAGGUGGGAGGCUUUGAAGCGUGGACGCCAGUCUGCGUGGAGCCAACCUUGAAAUACCACCCUGGCAACUUUGAGGUUCUAACUCAGGUCCGUUAUCCGGAUCGAGGACAGUGUAUGGUGGGUAGUUUGACUGGGGCGGUCUCCUCCUAAAGAGUAACGGAGGAGUACGAAGGUGCGCUCAGACCGGUCGGAAAUCGGUCGUAGAGUAUAAAGGCAAAAGCGCGCUUGACUGCGAGACAGACACGUCGAGCAGGUACGAAAGUAGGUCUUAGUGAUCCGGUGGUUCUGUAUGGAAGGGCCAUCGCUCAACGGAUAAAAGGUACUCCGGGGAUAACAGGCUGAUACCGCCCAAGAGUUCAUAUCGACGGCGGUGUUUGGCACCUCGAUGUCGGCUCAUCACAUCCUGGGGCUGAAGCCGGUCCCAAGGGUAUGGCUGUUCGCCAUUUAAAGUGGUACGCGAGCUGGGUUUAGAACGUCGUGAGACAGUUCGGUCCCUAUCUGCCGUGGACGUUUGAGAUUUGAGAGGGGCUGCUCCUAGUACGAGAGGACCGGAGUGGACGAACCUCUGGUGUUCCGGUUGUCACGCCAGUGGCAUUGCCGGGUAGCUAUGUUCGGAAUAGAUAACCGCUGAAAGCAUCUAAGCGGGAAACUAGCCUCAAGAUGAGAUCUCACUGGAACCUUGA